rnacentral:rRNA from 1 species
GAAAUAGAACCUGAAACCGUGUGCUUACAAGUAGUCAGAGCCCGUUAAUGGGUGAUGGCGUGCCUUUUGUAGAAUGAACCGGCGAGUUACGAUUUGAUGCAAGGUUAAGCAGUAAAUGUGGAGCCGUAGCGAAAGCGAGUCUGAAUAGGGCGUUUAGUAUUUGGUCGUAGACCCGAAACCAGGUGAUCUACCCUUGGUCAGGUUGAAGUUCAGGUAACACUGAAUGGAGGACCGAACCGACUUACGUUGAAAAGUGAGCGGAUGAACUGAGGGUAGCGGAGAAAUUCCAAUCGAACCUGGAGAUAGCUGGUUCUCUCCGAAAUAGCUUUAGGGCUAGCCUCAAGUGAUGAUUAUUGGAGGUAGAGCACUGUUUGGACGAGGGGCCCCUCUCGGGUUACCGAAUUCAGACAAACUCCGAAUGCCAAUUAAUUUAACUUGGGAGUCAGAACAUGGGUGAUAAGGUCCGUGUUCGAAAGGGAAACAGCCCAGACCACCAGCUAAGGUCCCAAAAUAUAUGUUAAGUGGAAAAGGAUGUGGCGUUGCCCAGACAACUAGGAUGUUGGCUUAGAAGCAGCCAUCAUUUAAAGAGUGCGUAAUAGCUCACUAGUCGAGUGACACUGCGCCGAAAAUGUACCGGGGCUAAACAUAUUACCGAAGCUGUGGAUUGUCCUUUGGACAAUGGUAGGAGAGCGUUCUAAGGGCGUUGAAGCAUGAUCGUAAGGACAUGUGGAGCGCUUAGAAGUGAGAAUGCCGGUGUGAGUAGCGAAAGACGGGUGAGAAUCCCGUCCACCGAUUGACUAAGGUUUCCAGAGGAAGGCUCGUCCGCUCUGGGUUAGUCGGGUCCUAAGCUGAGGCCGACAGGCGUAGGCGAUGGAUAACAGGUUGAUAUUCCUGUACCACCUAUAAUCGUUUUAAUCGAUGGGGGGACGCAGUAGGAUAGGCGAAGCGUGCGAUUGGAUUGCACGUCUAAGCAGUAAGGCUGAGUAUUAGGCAAAUCCGGUACUCGUUAAGGCUG